UCCCUGGUGGUCCAAUGGCUAAGACUCUGGGCUCCCAACGCAGGGACCUGGGUUCAAUCCCUAGUUGGGGAA
rnacentral:tRNA from 1 species